rnacentral:rRNA from 1 species
UGGGGAAUUUUGGACAAUUGGGCGAAAGCCUGAUCCAGCAAUGCCGCGUGUGUGAAGAAGGCCUUCGGGUUGUAAAGCACUUUUGUCCGGAAAGAAAUCCUUGGCUCUAAUACAGUCGGGGGAUGACGGUACCGGAAGAAUAAGCACCGGCUAACUACGUGCCAGCAGCCGCGGUAAUACGUAGGGUGCAAGCGUUAAUCGGAAUUACUGGGCGUAAAGCGUGCGCAGGCGGUUUGCUAAGACCGAUGUGAAAUCCCCGGGCUCAACCUGGGAACUGCAUUGGUGACUGGCAGGCUAGAGUAUGGCAGAGGGGGGUAGAAUUCCACGUGUAGCAGUGAAUGCGUAGAGAUGUGGAGGAAUACCGAUGGCGAAGGCAGCCCCCUGGCAAGUACUGACGCUCAUGCACGAAAGCGUGGGGAGCAAACGGAUUAAUCCCUGGUAGUCCACG